GCCAAAGUAUCCUCCAGACCUGAGCAACUGAUGUUUGAUGCCACACGAGGCUCUCUUGGGAUGAAUCAUUGGCAGAGUCUUUCUUCAGUACUUCAAGGAACCGUAAUUUCCUCAAUCCCCCACAGAGCAGAAAAGGAUGCUGUAAAAAAUUCACAUCUGGAAGCUUUCUCUACUUUAUUCACCAUGGUUGAUGCCACUGGAUUACCUUUUGAAUUCAGGUUUGCAACAGAAAAUAAGAUGCAUAGAUUAUGGACUAGCACACCUGCACAACUUCACGUGAUGUAGGGAGUGAGGUGAGAGGACUUUCUGAGUGAUCCUUGGAAGGACCCAGAAUACUCUCCAAGGAUAUACUGGCACAAACAACCUCUGCUCUAUGUACAUUAACAGUUGGAGUACAAUGAUACCAAACUGUGAAGAAAAUUUCCUUUAAUAAAUGC
rnacentral:lncRNA from 1 species